rnacentral:rRNA from 1 species
UUCAUAGAGUGUAAAGGCAUAAGGGAGCUUGACUGCGAGACCUACAAGUCGAGCAGGGUCGAAAGACGGACUUAGUGAUCCGGUGGUUCCGCAUGGAAGGGCCAUCGCUCAACGGAUAAAAGCUACCCCGGGGAUAACAGGCUUAUCUCCCCCAAGAGUUCACAUCGACGGGGAGGUUUGGCACCUCGAUGUCGGCUCAUCGCAUCCUGGGGCUGUAGUCGGUCCCAAGGGUUGGGCUGUUCGCCCAUUAAAGCGGUACGCGAGCUGGGUUCAGAACGUCGUGAGACAGUUCGGUCCCUAUCCGUCGUGGGCGUAGGAAAUUUGAGAGGAGCUGUCCUUAGUACGAGAGGACCGGGAUGGACAUACCUCUGGUGUACCAGUUGUCGUGCCAACGGCAUAGCUGGGUAGCUAUGUGUGGACGGGAUAAGUGCUGAAAGCAUCUAAGCAUGAAGCCCCCCUCAAGAUGAGAUUUCCCAACUUCGGUUAUAAGAUCCCUCAAAGAUAAUGAGGUUAAUAGGUUCGAGGUGGAAGCAUGGUGACAUGUGGAGCUGACGAAUACUAAUCGAUCGAAGACUUAAUCAA